GACGUAGGGCGCGAGCGUUGUCCGGAUUUAUUGGGCGUAAAGAGCUCGUAGGCGGCUUGUCGAGUCGUCCGUGAAAACCUGCAGCUCAACUGCAGGCUUGCGGUCGAUACGGGCAGGCUAGAGUUCGGUAGGGGAGACUGGAAUUCUCGGUGUAGCGGUGAAAUGCGUAGAUAUCGAGAGGAACACCUGCGGCGAAGGCGGGUUGCUGGGCUGACACUGACGCUGACAGCGCGAAAGCUAGGGGAGCGAACGGG
rnacentral:rRNA from 1 species